rnacentral:rRNA from 1 species
AGUGAACGCUGGCGGUAGGCCUAACACAUGCAAGUCGAACGGCAGCACAGUAAGAGCUUGCUCUUACGGGUGGCGAGUGGCGGACGGGUGAGGAAUACAUCGGAAUCUACUUUUUCGUGGGGGAUAACGUAGGGAAACUUACGCUAAUACCGCAUACGACCUACGGGUGAAGGCAGGGGAUCUUCGGACCUUGCGCGAUUGAAUGAGCCGAUGUCGGAUUAGCUAGUUGGCGGGGUAAAGGCCCACCAAGGCGACGAUCCGUAGCUGGUCUGAGAGGAUGAUCAGCCACACUGGAACUGAGACACGGUCCAGACUCCUACGGGAGGCAGCAGUGGGGAAUAUUGGACAAUGGGCGCAAGCCUGAUCCAGCCAUACCGCGUGGGUGAAGAGGGCCUUCGGGUUGUAAAGCCCUUUUGUUGGGAAAGAAAAGCAGCAGGUUAAUACCCCGCUGUUCUGACGGUACCCAAAGAAUAAGCACCGGCUAACUUCGUG